ACCACCACCAGAGAGGCUGGAGCAGGCAACUGUGUCUCGGCUGACACAUACACAACACACACACACACACACACACACAUACACACAGACGCAGAUACACAGACAGAGAUCAUCAGCGGCGCAGGGGCAAGACAUGCCAUAAUAACAAGGCGACAAUAGGCCGCCGCAUUGCGAAGCGAAGGAGCUCUGUUGCAUCUGCGCAGGAAUGUCCACCGUGAAGCCCUGAAGAGAAAAUGAAGCGCAAGAGCGAGAGGAGACGAGCCGAGUCGAGGAAAAAGCGCUGUGCAGCUCACAACAGCUCAGAGGCGGAGCCAAACUCUGAUAUUUACAUUGAGAUAACAGAUCAACUAUAUUUCGCCAUACUUCAGCAAAAGAUCAAGAGCACAGCUGAACGACACUGUUUCUGCAUAGAUGAAGAGCUGGCGUAUGAGAACUUCUAUGCGGACUUUGGUCCCCUUAACCUGGCCAUGUUUUAUCGCUUCUGUUGCAAGCUGACAAAGAAGCUCAAGUCCAUUACACUCUCAAGGAAGAAGAUCAUAUUUUAUACCUGUGGAGACCAGAAAAAACAGGCCAAUGCAGCCUACCUAAUAGGCUCAUAUGCUGUAAUGCAUCUAAACAUGAUGCCAGAGGAGGCCUACAGUCUGCUGGUGUCAAGGAAUUCAACAUACAUCCCAUUCAGAGAUGCUUCAUUUGGAACCUGCAUGUACAAUCUGAACAUCCUAGAUUGCCUCCGUGCUGUUCACAAGGCUCUGCAGUACGGCUGGCUGGACUUCUCUAACUUUGAUGUGGAGGAAUAUGAGCACUACGAGAGAGCAGAAAAUGGAGACUUAAACUGGAUCAUUCCAGGAAAGUUCCUUGCAUUCAGUGGGCCUCAUCCGAAAAGCAAAAUAGAGAAUGGGUAUCCUCUGCACGCUCCUGAGGCCUACAUUCCUUACUUUAGGAAACACAACAUCACCACUAUCAUCCGCCUCAACAAAAAGAUGUAUGAUGCCAGGCGCUUUACAGACUCUGGCUUCGAACAUCAUGACCUGUUCUUUGUGGACGGGAGCACACCGAACGACUCUAUCGUCAGGAAGUUCCUCAACAUCUGUGAGAACGCAGAAGGAGCCAUAGCUGUCCACUGCAAAGCUGGUCUGGGGAGGACUGGCACUCUGAUUGGCUGCUAUAUGAUGAAACAUUACCAACUGACUGCUGCAGAGGCCAUUGCCUGGAUACGGAUCUGCCGACCAGGGUCUAUCAUUGGGCCUCAGCAGAACUUUGUUGAAGAGAAGCAGAACAGUCUGUGGGCUGAGGGAGAUGUUUUUCGGGAGAAGAUGCUUAAUGAACGAGAGAACGGCAAGAUGGCUGUAACCAGGAUCCUGUCUGGAGUGGACGACAUCACCAUCAACGGGAGCAACAAAAACAGGACACCCAAGAAAGAAGAAAUGGAACUGUAUAAUGAUGAAGACGAGAGAAAUGGCCUCACACAGGGUGAUAAACUUCGAGCCUUGAAGAGCAAAAGGCAGUCCAGAUCAUCUUCAGGUUCACUAUCAUGGCUGGUAGCCAUGCUGCUCUCCUCCCUGUGUAGCCUUGCCCUGUGGUGGAUUGUGUAUGGCUUCCCUUCUUCCAUCCUGCAUUUCUGUAUAGACGGGUUAGGAUUUCAAUGAGUUCUACCGCCCGUCAGCCCCCAAAAAACCUGUCCUGCCCCCCGUUCUGGAGCUCUAACUGAGAAUGCUACAGGAAGAGAAUAAAAUUCAUACCAGAUCAUCAUCACAGUCCCUAAGCAGGGUCAUCUUGCAGGCCAGUGUUCAGGGCUGUAAAACCAGCGUUAACCCCUUGGCUCUGUCGGACCACUCAGACAGCAGGAAGAGGACCAGAACCUCACUGCCAGCAAAUGGAGUAGGAGGAAGACGCACUGUCUCCCGAGGACGUAAAGCUCGCAGCUCUUUGCAAUCAAUUCGAUUUUCCAGGCUAUGUCACUCCAUACCCAAAGCUAGAGCUCCUCUACUUCGAUGAGCCUGUGGAUCUGGAAAUCCUGAGGAAAUUUACAUGAAAGCCAACUUAUAUACAGCUGUAAGCUGUACUACUUUCAGUUGAUUUUUAAUUUUGAGGAAAAGGGUUGGAACUCAUUUUAACCACCGUGAUGUGACAUGUCAAUGAUUUAUAGAUUGUUUGAAGUUAUUUUACCCAUAAGGCACUUUGGUUUUUAUAUUUGUAAACACAGCAUCAUGAAAGAAACCAAUAGUUUUAAUCAUUGCCUGGUUGUUCCUACUUAUAGAAGCAUGCAGUAGCAAACAUCAGAUUGAACCACAUCCAUCAGACCGGCAUGUGAAUGUGUGAAUCCAAGAGAUUUCCUCUAAAAUGAGCACUGUGCAUUAGAUAUUCUGGAUUAUAAUACGGAUGAUUCACGUUAAGUUAGAAAGAUUUGGCGAUGGAUUUGGCCAGGAGUUUGGAAUAAAACUCUGCUCUUGGCCCUCCAUGGCAGAAGGCACAAGGGUGCCUGUGCCAUGGAUGUCGAUGAAUUCCAUCACAAAAUACAGUACUGUGCACAUUUGUACCACCAUUCAAUAUCUGGCUUGUCUUUUAUUCCUGUCAUUUACUUGUGAGGCUUUUCAGCUACUGUAUUUCAAGACUGUAAAUAUCUCAACAUUUGAUAUACUCAGUUUGUAUUUUGUAAAUAUUUUUGUACUAUGUUUGAAUCAUGCUAUUAGAUAAGUCAGUGGUCCUAACGGGGCCUUGUCUAACUCAUGUUAUAAUCCACUAAAGACAUUUGCUUUAAGCACAUAGAAUCUGACAUUUUAAAUAAAAUUGUACCCCCAA